CUUUUGCUCUUUCAAUUGUGCUUUGAAAAUCAGUUAAUUUGCAGCUUCCAACUCUGCUUUGAAGUUCAGGUUGUCAGUUUCCUUACUGGUAGAAAAUCUGGUCUUUUCACACUUGGAAAGGAGACCCAUUGAGGUUCUAGCACAUGGAAGAAAUACGAGUAUCACAUCUCAGGCCGAAGGGAGUUGCACCGCCACUACAAGUACGCGUCAUGCGCAAGUGGAUCCCCACUUUUAGAGAAAAUGAAACACAUUAUGUACUGG